AUACGUAGGGUGCGAGCGUUGUCCGGAAUUACUGGGCGUAAAGAGUUCGUAGGUGGUUUGUCGCGUCGUCUGUGAAAUUCCGGGGCUUAACUCCGGGCGUGCAGGCGAUACGGGCAUAACUUGAGUACUGUAGGGGAGACUGGAAUUCCUGGUGUAGCGGUGAAAUGCGCAGAUAUCCGGAGGAACACCGGUGGCGAAGGCGGGUCUCUGGGCAGUAACUGACGCUGAGGAGCGAAAGCAUGGGUAGCGAACAGGAUUAGAUACCCUGGUAGUCCAUGCCGUAAACGGUGGGCGCUAGGUGUAGGGGUCUUCCACGACUUCUGUGCCGUAGCUAACGCAUUAAGCGCCCCGCCUGGGGAGUACGGCCGCAAGGCUAAAACUCAAAGGAAUUGACGGGG
rnacentral:rRNA from 1 species